AACGAACGCUGGCGGCAGGCUUAACACAUGCAAGUCGAGCGCCCCGCAAGGGGAGCGGCAGACGGGUGAGUAACGCGUGGGAAUCUACCGAGCCCUAAGGAAUAGCUCCGGGAAACUGGAAUUAAUACCUUAUGCGCCCUUUGGGGGAAAGAUUUAUCGGGGUUUGAUGAGCCCGCGUUGGAUUAGCUAGUUGGUGGGGUAAAGGCCUACCAAGGCGACGAUCCAUAGCUGGUCUGAGAGGAUGAUCAGCCACAUUGGGACUGAGACACGGCCCAAACUCCUACGGGAGGCAGCAGUGGGGAAUAUUGGACAAUGGGCGCAAGCUUGAUCCAGCCAUGCCGCGUGAGUGAUGAAGGCCCUAGGGUUGUAAAGCUCUUUCACCGGUGAAGAUAAUGACGGUAACCGGAGAAGAAGCCCCGGCUAACUUCGUGCCAGCCGCCGCAGUAAAAC
rnacentral:rRNA from 1 species